rfam:Zea mays cultivar B73 chromosome 3, whole genome shotgun sequence.
AUCCCGGAUUUACUUGCUUAGCUGUUCUUCCGAUUCAUGGGAGGCCGAGAUCGAUGUUCCCUGGGAGUUUCGCUGAUAGCGCCUUCUUCCCCGUGGAGGUGCUUCAUUAGUAACUCACCACACAUUA